rnacentral:lncRNA from 1 species
AGAAAAGUUGCGUCCAGUACUCUGUUUUGUUUCAGCUUAGUGGGAAGCAGAGCUCAGAUUUACCCAGGCUUGGGGAUCUGUAAACUCCCCUACCUGUGAGGUGAGACUGGAUCCUGAGAUGCUGGCUCUCUACUUCUACACAGUUCAUCAUGAAACAUUGGCCUGGGCAGAAGACUUGCAUUGUGGCUUCAACUCAGGGACCUGGAGGUGCCAUGUACAGAAAAAGGAAAAUUCACAUUUUGCAACGCUUGUUAUAUGUCAACUGUGACAUCACAUUCAUAAUGUAUUCUCUGUGCAUUUAUUAACCUCCACUAUAUACCUGGUGAUAAGCUGUAUUCUGACUGCAAGGAGGACAGCAAGAUGUACACAACAUACAUAAUUUGUACUGAAUCCCCAGGAGAGGAGGUACAUGUGUGUGUGUGUGUGUUGGGUGACCAUUUCUUAGUUUCAGACUCUGGAACAAGGGACUGAGGCACAUAUUUAUUUUACAUAGCAUAACAGACCUGGUUUCCAGGUUUUUCCAGCAUCUGCCACUCCCUACCUGCCAUACCCUGUUUGCAAGUCUAAACUUUCCAGCCCAGAGGCUAGGCUGCAGCUCUUCCCUAUAUAAUCCAGAGAUUUAGAUCCCGUGUGUGUGUGUGUGUGUGUGUGUGUGUGUGUGUGUGUGUGUGCUUCUCUUCUUCUCUCUCUGUGCACACAUUUUCUUUCUCUCUCUCCCCUCACCCUUCUUCUUUCUUUCUCCCUUCCCAUAGGGACUUUCUGGCUGGCUAAUAUACAGAGGAUUACAAAGUCCCUGUAAUUUUUCCAAGACAUAUUGAGGACAUAUCUCAUCUCUGUAAGGAUGAGAGGAUGGAAGCUUGCUCAUCAUACAUGCUGGUAUCUAGGGGAUUCACAGAGGAAUUCUAAGAAUGAGAAUCUUGGCCUUUCUCAACUUGUAAGUAGAACAUGGACUAGUUUGCCAUGGAUACAAACUUGAAAGUGACUGUAACAAGCAAAGAAGAUGAGGCGUGCAGGUUCAGACAUUGGGCAGCUUGCCAAACCCAUGGGAAAACAAUUGCCAGCUUUUCCACUUGGUUAGGGGUAUGCUGGGUUCUCUACCUUGGAGCUUCUGGAUCAGGGACCUUCAUGUAACCUCUCAGCUUGGCAGGAUCCACCCUUGCAUCUUCUGCGUGCAUCCAAAUGCAGAGCCUAGGCUACAACAGAAAAUGUUCCAAGAUUAAAGGUCUUCUGUGGAAGGUCGGCAGUCAAAUCCUUAUGCGGAAAAUUCUGUGACUCUCAAACCCCAGCCCUGUGCUGAGGAGCCCAGUUGCCUCCAUAUGCAUUUGAUCUUGCUCUUUGG